CCCUUAGAUGUUCUGGGCCGCACGCGCGCUACAAUGAUGAAUUCAACGAGUUUAUAACCUUGGUUGAAAAGCCUGGGUAAUCUUUUGAACUUUCGUCGUGAUGGGGCUAGACCCUUGCAAUUAUUGGUCUCCAACGAGGAAUUCCUAGUAAACGCAAGUCAUCAGCUUGCAUUGAUUAUGUCCCUGCCCUUUGUACACACCGCCCGUCGCACCUACCGAUUGAAUGGUCCGGUGAAAUCUUCGGAUUGAGACUUUGAUUUGUUUACUCAAAACGCUGUUUCAAGAAGUUGAUUAAACCUUACCAUUUAGAGGAAGGUGAAGUCGUAACA
rnacentral:rRNA from 1 species